GACGAACGCUGGCGGCGCGCUUAACACAUGCAAGUCGAGCGAGAACCGGGGCUUCGGCCCCGGGGACAGCGGCGGACGGGUGAGUAACACGUGGGUAACCUGCCUGUAAGACUGGGAUAACUCCGGGAAACCGGAGCGAAUACCGGAUGGUCCCUUGAACCGCAUGGUACAAGGAUGAAAGACGGUUUCGGCUGUCACUUACAGAGGGACCCGCGGCGCAUUAGCGAGUUGGUGGGGUAAUGGCUCACCAAGGCGACGAUGCGUAGCCGACCUGAGAGGGUGAUCGGCAACACUGGGACUGAGACACGGCCCAGACUCCUACGGGAGGCAGCAGUAGGGAAUCUUCCGCAAUGGACGAAAGUCUGACGGAGCAACGCCGCGUGAGUGAUGAAGGUUUUCGGAUCGUAAAGCUCUGUUGUUAGGGAAGAACAAGUGCGAGAGUAACUGCUCGCACCUUGACGGUACCUAACCAGAAAGCCACGGCUAACUACGUGCCAGCCGCCGCCGUAAUAC
rnacentral:rRNA from 1 species